ensembl:lncRNA
CCCUCAGGCCAGCGCGUGUGGCACUGAACCUGCUCCUCAUGCUGUGGGGCCACCCAUGUGCCGCUGAACUGACCCUGCACUGCCCUUUGCACCCAGUGGGGCCUAGGACAUGUACUCCUGGGGGGAUUCUGCACCACGACACACAUGCAGAAUUUAUGUCCCCCUCAUAGUUCUUUGCUUCCCCACAGAAAAAAAGACUUUGUGACAGGGAAGCAAAGGGGAGCCACAAGAGCGGUCACAUGACCCUCCCCAGCAGUAUGUCUCGGUCCCCAGGGCAGCCAGCAGAGAGGUUUCUGAAGCUGCUGCCUUCUCAGGUACUCUCUCAAUGGUGCCUGCAUGCUAUAUGGAAUCCUCACCCACUGCCUGGCUGCAGUCCACCCUCAGAGUUUGCUAUAGACCUAGUGAUGCAGAGUGCUGAAUGCCCUGGGUUCCCACUGACUAAGCAGAUGCUGGGGAAGCAACAGUUGGAGAAUGAGCCUGAGCCAAACAGGCUGGAAGAAUCCAAGCCUUUUCCAAAUACCACUCCACUACAUCAUCAGAUAGGAGAUACCUGCUUCUAGCAAAAGGCCUUCUAGUGUAUGUCACUGUGGACUUGGCUUUGUAUCUUUUUACGGCCAAACAGAAAGGAAACUCCACCUUGGUAAAUUUUUCAGCUCUCUUGGAAAACACCUUUUGGAUCCAAAGGAGACAAAGACGUAGAGCUAAUGAUGGCGGAGCCACAUAGGAAGGGCCAGAAUGGACGGAUCCCGGUCAGCGCUGUGACAUUAUGGGGAAGGCAGAGUCUGCAUGCUGGGGAGGGACUAUGCACCCCCAAUUCCCCAUGUCUGAAGGAAAAGAAAAGUCUGUGCAGCUGUAACACAGGUACUCUGGUUUCAUUUGCAAUGAGCUGUAUUGUUACUAUGUAUGCAGAGUCAUAACUAUGACUCCUGAACAUCUAUCAGGGAAAAGGUGAUGUCCCGGCUACAUCCCAAUGAAUACAAAAGCAGCGAGCAGGAUGUGAACGAAAGCCUUCCAUUGACAGGGCGUUUAGAUGAAAUCCUUGAAGUACAAUAUACUUACCAGGCAGGGUUAGAGCUCCAUUUGCCUGUCACUUGCUCAGCCUCUAGCAGAGGGAAGAUGUUCUCUCUCUCCCUGCUUGUUUACAGCUCUCAGAAACCGAGAGCAGUUUAGGUUAGGACAUAGGAUAGACGCUGCUCCCUUCUCCCCUUACGAAACUGCUUUCCACGUAGCUACAGCUAGGAGAGGGCACAUUCUCAGCUAGGGGGUUGGGCUACUGGUGCAGACGCUCUGGGAUGUAUGUAGCAAUCUGAGAUUUGGACAUACGAGGCCUGACCCAAAGGCCAGUGAAAUCACUGACGAGUUCUGUGGCCUUCGCAGCAGCUUAUGCCCACACAGGCAAAGCCGUUACAUCCCUCGAGUAAAACUAUAUUAUAGAUCAACAUCUUUCACCACAGAGCUGCCAAUGUAAACAAUGGACAAAAAGUUCUCUCAAUAGAGAAUCUUGGCUCCCAAAUUCCGGCCUCCCUACAGAAUCCCUCUUAUGUCAAUAGGAUAUUGUUG